AUCGCUCAUUGUGUCCCCUGUAGAGCAAUGGACUUCUAAUCCAAAGGUCGUGGGUUCGAAUCCCACCAGGGAUG